CCUACGGGAGGCAGCAGUGGGGAAUAUUGGUCAAUGGGCGGAAGCCUGAACCAGCCAAGUAGCGUGCGGGAUGAAGGCCCUACGGGUCGUAAACCGCUUUUGCACGGGGAUAACACCCUCCACUUGUGGAGGUCUGCAGGUACCGUGCGAAUAAGGGCCGGCUAAUUCCGUGCCAGCAGCCGCGGUAAUACGGAAGGCCCGAGCGUUAUCCGGAUUCAUUGGGCUUAAAGGGAGCGUAGGCGGGCGUUCAAGUCAGCUGUAAAAUCGCGCGGCUCAACCGCGCCCCGCAGUUGAAACUGGACGCAUUGAGUUCACAACAGGCAGGCGGAAUUCGUGGUGUAGCGGUGAAAUGCAUAGAUAGCACGAGGAACCCCGAUUGCGAAGGCAGCCUGCCGGGGUGCGACUGACGCUGAGGCUCGAAGGUGCGGGUAUCAAACAGGAUUAGAUACCCGGGUAGUC
rnacentral:rRNA from 1 species